rnacentral:lncRNA from 1 species
UCAAAAUGAGACAAAAGAAAGCAUUUCACUUAAAGGAUCAAAGGCCAUUAUUCUACCAACUAACGUGAAUAGCAGAAGCAAUACUUUGGCAUUUAAGCCAAGAGGCAUUUCUAGUUCAUCCAAAGUUCCCUAGGUUAAUCAAAAAAAUUCUGCCGUGGAUUUUAAAAUCCAAGAACUUGGAACAGAGUUGUUUAGUCCAAAUUAUUUAGCCAAGAUUCCAUUGGAAAUUCAAAGAACAACAACAAUAUUGUUCAAAUAAAUUCCAGGAACAGGUAUGUUAAGGCUAAGCUCUUCUUUCAUUUGGCAUGACCCCGUAAUUACUUGAGUUUGAUAACAAUACAUCCUACUACCCGUUUUAUGUUGUACAAGACAUAUAAGGAAAUGUUCAAUUUUUAAGGUUAAUGAAAGGUUCGGUACUAGCAGCAACUUAGGAUAAAUGAAAGCUUUUUCGUAUGACACUAACAUAAUUAGAUAGGAUAUUAUUAUAUAUUAUUUAAUCAAUCAGAUCUCUAAGCUAGUUAAAAUCUUACUUGUAGUUCUUACGUGUAAAUAGUUGGCGAGCAAUUAAUCCCAUGAAACAAUAGGACAUAAUAAUGUACUGUAUGAGUCAACAUUAAUAAUGGGUAAAGUAGAGGUAUAGAGAAAAAUUCAUAUCCCUGAAUUUACGUAUAUUUGUCUAUUUAAAGAAGUAGUCCUAUAUAUAUACUUUUCCCUCUACUAACGGGAAGCGUGUUCAUAAAACCAAUUGUUAAUUUGCAUUUCAUGUUUGAAUGUACAACCACACCUUUUCAAUUAAAGGUAUCCAUGAUAUUCGUAGAAAGAAGUGAAACAAAUAAAGAACCCAAUAUAAGUUAGUCUUAUGCACAAAAUUAGGUGCAACCUCCUGGGAAAUACUACUGCCUUCGUCAUAUGAUUAAGAAAUUUAGGUUGACAAAAGGCUCAUAUAUGAUUAGUAUUGCAAAUGUUAUCAUAGGCAACUACUUUAAAUACAUGCAGGAGGUUAAUAUUUUCUAGUUUUGUAAAUUACCACAUUCUUCUUAUCAGGACUUCAUAUUCAGUUGAGUAUUUCCUUCUUCCAGUCAAGAGAGCAGAGAAGUUACAUAUAUACAGUAUUAAAAGUAUUUUUAUUACCAUCGAGCUAUAAUCGAUGGGCAGGCCCCUAUUGGGCAACCUCUGAUCAGAUGGUAAGUUAUAUACCGAUUCUACUGUGGUCGAGCGCAUAUGAGCGAGCCCAGUUGGUCGAGAUACAGAUCCUAGUAUGGCCGAGCGCUUAUGAGCGAGCCUACUACGGCAGAGCAGAUAUAUAUAUGUAUACCGAGCCUUAUAAGGCCGGACAACUAUUUUACUUACUAUAUUGAGAGAAUUGAGUCAGUAUCAGUAGGUAAGCAUAUCUUCAGAUUAUCUUUGACUUCCAACUACUUGCAGUUAUUAUAUUAUCAGUUUAGUUUCAACUUUUAGUAUAUUGCCUUACAUACUCAGUACAUUAUUUCGUACCGACGUUCCUUUUGCCUGGGGACGUUGCGUUUCAUGCCUGCAUGCCCUGAUAGACCGGCCGAGAGCCCUCCAAGUAGGCUAUCAGCUUAGCGAAAGAUGGUGGUGCGCUCUAUUUGCUUCGAAGUUGUGUAUUAGGUUAGUAUGAUUUUGAUGUGUAUUGUUUGGUAUGGCGGGACUCUGUCCCGACCUAUAUGACAUUUAUGUAUUCUUAGAGGCUGAUAGACAUAUGUCGUGUACGUGAAAGAUUGUACGGCCUUGCCGGCCUAUGUUUUGAGUUUAUAAAUGAUUAUGUUGGCCUAUUAGGCCCGUAUGUCACGUGUAUAUGAUGAUUUAAUAAGAAAGAUACGUUACAUUGGUACUCGGUUGAGUAAGGUAUCGGGUGCCCGUCGCGGCCCAUCGGUUUGGGUUGUGACAAAAGUGGUAUCAGAGCAGUUCUGUCCUAGGAAGUCUAUAAGCCGUGUCUAGUAGAGUCUUGUUUAUGGGUGUGUUGUGCACCACACUUACAAGCAGGAGGCUACAGGGUAUUUAAGACUGUCACUCUUUCUUCUUACUCUAAAUCGUGUGGUAGAGCACACUUAUAAGAAUUCAAGUCCCGAGCUUCUAUUUUUAUUCAUAAUAAGACAAUGUCUACGUUCAGAAAGAUGAUCGAUAAGAGCUAUAGCUGUGGAAGUGUUGGAUUAGUGGAGCUCAACUUUGUAUGAUGCUUAUGAUAAGUAAAUAUGAGAUCUUCAGCAGAUCAUGUGUGUGCUGAAAGGUGUAAGACUCUUGAUAAGAAGCCUCAAGGCAAGAAUGUCUAUCCCAUCUUUAUGGUAAAGGACAAUGAGAAAUUAAGAAGAUAAGUACAAGUUUCAGCAAGUAAAAGAAGCAAGAUGAAGAAGGGUACAAGGCGCCCAAUUAACAAAGGUUAUAAUUGAGGCAGAUGAACCUAAGCCUUUUGAAUUAUAUUCAAUAGUAACAGAGGUAUAUACAAUUGGUCGUACCUCUUCCAGAUAUGCCCUAUGGGGGUUAACAAAAGUAGUAUAAGAAGAUAUGAUGGAUGAAUUGAUUGCGUCAGUUGAUAUCUCCGAAGAAUAUUUCAAAUGUGCUAAUAGAUCUCUUUAUGAGACACCUAGAUAGUGCACUCUGAAUUAGUGCAGACAUAUAUGAGUACUACAAAGACAUGUACUAUAAGCCUUGAAGGAAUAAUAUUAUCUUAGUGUGGCUCCCGCCCCAGUAAAGAAAGAAUGCUAGGCAAUUGAAAGUAAAGGGAUGGAGCAAAGGGAUCUAGAGGAAAAAAGAAAGUUUUGUUCGAGUUUUUAGAAUAAAGCAGUAGACAUAGAUAAUUAGCGGGAGAUGAGAAUAGAGUUAAUGAAGCAUUAUGAGUAAAAUAUGAUACACGGAUGUUAACGGUAGGUCAACAAAAAUGAUGACAGUAUUACAGUAUUUACAGUCAAGUGAGAGGAAAGACAAAAGAUGACAGGCCUUGAGACAAUGAAAGAAUAUAGCCCAUAAAGUCAUAUCCCCACUUCGAGAAAUAAGUUCGCAACUCUAAUGUAAUCACCAAAAGGAAAAGUUAAACCCCAAAGUAAUAGAAAUUAGUAUGGGCUGGUAAACCUGAUAAACUAAAUAUGAAUUAGGGACUGAAUGAUUGGAAAGUACUCAGCAUAAUGGUAAUUUUAGAUUUUGUUCCGGCAGUAAUAGAAUGGACAAUGAAAGAAGAUUCAUGAGAAAUUCUGAGAAUGAUCACUCAGGAAGACGCUUCACUAAAGCAAGCAAUGGAAGCGAAGUUAAUCUUAAGGGAAUGUAUGAGCCAGUUACACUAAGUGUCACCGUCGUGAGUAAGAAAUUUUAUUUUCAUUGGUACAGAAGGAUUACUGCAAGGAGAGUAAGGGUCAUCGAUGAUGUGAAAGGAUGCCAAAGAUGAAAAGGUGAAACAUCUAUAGGCAGGUCGUCGUAGCUCCAACUCUUAACACUCCCCUAAAGGGGGGAAUAUGGAGUGAUGUGGCAUUAAGUCAGAAUUAAGUGGUUCUAGUUAAUAUGGAAUGGUAAAGGAAGAAUGCGAUAAAUGAAAGAGGAAUGAGAUGGCACUUAUCCAAAUCUUACAGAUGCGAUACAAUUCAAGAAUAUUGUGCAAGCACGAACAUCAAAAAUUCUAUUGGGAAUACGGUAUAAUAAGUUCACAUCUUUACAAGAGUUAGAGGGUCUUCCCUAAGUACUACAAUAAAGGACUAGUUGAGGAAAUGAGGAAAAAGGCUUCAACCUAAUCACAGUGACCUAAAGAGAAAAUGGUCUUGUAACAAUAAUUUAACAACAACAGUGUACGUCAUCCAUAAGAAAGAGGAAUCUACCGUGGGUAGUGAACGGGAAGUAAAUCAAAAGAAAUAUUCGAAGAUCAUAUGAGUUGUACGGAAUUUCCGGCAAGCGUGGGAGACUAAGCUAAGCAAAGUAUACACGCAACAAGGAGGAAGAAAGAUAAGGAAAGGUAAAAGCUUACGUUAAAAGAAAUAUGAGAAGGAACGAAAGGAAUUAUUUGAUCAAUGAUCCUAAGUUAGUCACAUUAUUAUGCACUCAAGAUUUUAGAAAAUUAUCCAUGGAGCAUAUAUAUGGAAAUCGUAUAGCCGUAAGAGACUCUGGUAUAAGUUGAAAAUAAGGAAUUAAGUUCAGGUUAUAGAAAAAGGAUUGAAUUGUUGGAUGAUGGUAUUAUGGGUAUUCCAUAACGCCCAUGAAAGGUUAAGGUAAUAACUGAUACCAUGAGCCACAGAUCGGAAGAUAGCUUAAGCCUAUGUAAAGGCUAAUCAGAAGGAAGAGGAAACUAAAGAAUUACAUCACCGAAGUAAAUCAAGAAUCUGAUUAUUGGACCUAGAAAAAUUAUAGAAGUUGUGCUGGAGAAGAUGACAGAAUAGCUCUUAAUAGCAGACGUUCAAUAGAAACAACACAACGACUAUAAUCUAUAAUGGCUCUACAAGGAAGCCAGUUAGAAGAAGUACCAUCCUAAUAAGAAGUCAGUACGAAGCUCCCACCGGAUUGUGUAUGCACCAAAGGUGUAAAAAAAAAUUAUAAUAAAGCUUCAAGUAUAGACGUGAAUUGUAUCUAUGUGGAAGGGAGGUCAUGAAAGAGAUAGAAGAUACAAUGUGAGAUUUUAAGUAAGUAAGGAAAAGGUGAACAACAUACAUGAUACUCAAAUACAGAAAGUUAUGAAUAGUCUGUACUGCAGAAAAGAGACUAUAAGCGCGGGAUUCAAUAUCCAGGAAUGAUAGCGACAAGGUUUUAGGAAGAUUAGAAUAAGGAUAAGAGAAGGCGAGUGAGAAGGUGACGAGAAUGGAUAAGUCCUAGGGAUUAAGCCCAUGAAAACAAGAAGAGCUGAUGGUUUCUCUAAGUUAUAGAAAGCUCAGUAUAGCCUGAAUGAAUUAAAAGGAAUCUAAGACUAGUAACAUUUAGAAAAGAUGGAAUGCUGCCCUGAUAGUACAAUGAAGGUAUAAUUAUGAUGGAUAAAGGAUGACGUUUAGGCUUUCGAGUGAGUAAUGAUUGAAGAGGCUUUCAUGGAUUGUACGAGAUUAAAAUACCCACAUAAGUAAAUCACAUUGGGAUGCCAUGAGAUACGGUUAUGAAAGCAGGGUAUCGCCCCAGGUGGAUCAAUCUAAUCAUUUCAGAUGUUCCUCGAUAAAACAUGAAUCCUAGCAGUAAUAUUACUUAAAAUGUUAAGUUAUCAAGGGUGGACUAUGGAUCAAAAUUGAGGUGAAUCAAUAAUGGAUGGGUAAAAGUUAUAAAGUGUGAGAAGAGAUUAGGCCGUCAUUCUUAAAGAUGAACAGUAAUGUGGAGGCAUUAAAGGACAUAGAUUUAUACGUACGAGAUAAGCAAUGAAAGUAACCUGAGAUUAUGUAGCAGACCUCAGUAACGAGAAAUCGAGGUAAGUGUUAUGGUAUAGUAUGACCUAUGUAGAUGCAGUAAAGUCAUACGAAUGGAUAACCAUGUCUAUAAAAUAAGAUAUAGCAGUAUCGUAAGUUCGACAAAAUACCAAGCAAAGAAAUUCAGGAUUGGCUAAAAACUAGAGGAAAAAGGAAAGGAGAGUUGCAUAAGGACACAUACAUGGUUAGUAUCGUAGGAGAUGCAUGAUGGGAGGUAGCAACAGUUAUGAGAUGGGAAAGUAUUUGAUCACAAGUCAUGGCAUGGGAAAGAGGCCUAAAGGGGGUAAUACCCUGACCUUUGGACUUAUUCACAGAACAGUUGCCUAGAUGGCAAGAGGACUACUAAAGUAUUCGCAAGAGCUAUGGGAUAUGAGAACGAUAAGCAUAUCAGUCAACAUUCGAGGACGAAUGUUCCAAAGGGGGGAAUGAUGUUACACCCCCUAUUUUCGUACAUGAAAAUACACCAUAAAUAAGUUAAUGAGAGCCCGAAGUGAGGUGUCACGUCCUGCAGUAUUGCAUAACGGUGAUGUCACGUUUUGCAGUGUUAAGUUACGAUGAUGUUGCACCCUAAAGUAUUGUACGUUAAAAUUUUAUUUUCAGUUAACCGAUGUAAGACUCGGGGAUGAGAUCAUCUUGAUGUUAACGUACUUGCGCUAUUUAUAGCAAGCAAUAAAUAAGUGUUAUGAAGAAUAAGGGGGUACACGGAUUAAAGAAAAUAAGUUUCGUUGAAAGUGGUCAAUUUGGAAUAAAAUAAGGGUCGAGCAAUAAUACACGAUAAUUAUGAAAUACUACCAUGUAAGGUACCACAUGACCAUGAUAGUAAAGUAUAUAAAGUGUAUUAAAAGUGAGUAGUAUUUUAACUAAUUUGAGAUAAUUGGUUAAUUAUUCAUUUAAGUGGGUAAGUGUAGGAAUUGUCUUGUCCACGUGGGACCAUGACAACUAAACUAAACUAUGACUAAUAUGUGUGCUACGUUGGUGUCAUACUUUGGGAGCAAGAAGUCUUGCUAAGCAUUAAUUAUAAAUGGGGUCUACCAACCAAGACACUUAAAGAAUGCAUUUUGAAACUAGAGAAAUCAUUUUUGAAACUCAAGCCUUUGGAUUUAGGCUUGCUAAGAACGANNNNNNNNNNNNNNNNNNNNNNNNNNNNNNNNNNNNNNNNNNNNNNNNNNNNNNNNNNNNNNNNNNNNNNNNNNNNNNNNNNNNNNNNNNNNNNNNNNNNNNNNNNNNNNNNNNNNNNNNNNNNNNNNNNNNNNNNNNNNNNNNNNNNNNNNNNNNNNNNNACCAACUAACGUGAAUAGCAGAAGCAAUACUUUGGCAUUUAAGACAAGAGGCAUUUCUAGUUCAUCCAAAGUUCCCUAGGUUAAUCAAAAAAAUUCUGCCGUGGAUUUUAAAAUCCAAGAACUUGCAACAGAGUUGUUUUGUCCAAAUUAUUUAGCCAAUAUUCGAUUGGAAAUUCAAAGAACAACAACAAUAUUGUUCAAAUAAAUUCCAGGAACAUGUAUGUUAAGGCUAAGCUCUUCUUUUAUUUGGCAUGACCCCGUAAUUACUUGAGUUUGAUAACAAUACAUCCUACUACCCGUUUUACGUUGUACAAGACAUAUAAGGAAAUGUUCAAUUUUUAAGGUUAAUGAAAGGUUCGGUACUAGAAGCAACUUAGGAUAAAUGAAAGCUUUUUUCAUAUGACACUAACAUAAUUAGAUAGGUUAUUAUUAUAUAUUAUUUAAUCAAUCAGAUCUCUAAGCUAGUUAAAAUCUUACUUGUAGUUCUUCCGUGUAAAUAGUUGGCGAGCAAUUAAUCCCAUGAAACAAUAGGACAUAAUAAUGUACUGUAGGAGUCAACAUUAAUAAUGGGUAAAGUAGAGGUAUAGAGAAAAAUUCAUAUCCCUGAAUUUACGUAUAUUUGUCUAUUUAAAGAAGUAGUCCUAUAUAUAUACUUUUCCCUCUACUAACGGGAAGCGUGUUCAUAAAACCAAUUGUUAAUUUGCAUUUCAUGUUUGAAUGUACAACAAAACCUUUUCAAUUAAAGGUAUCCAUGAUAUUCCUAGAAAGAAGUGAAACAAAUAAAGAACCCAAUAUAAGUUAGUCUUAUGCACAAAAUUAGGUGCAACCUCCUGGGAAAUACUACUGCCUUCGUCAUAUGAUUAAGAAAUUUAGGUUGACAAAAGGCUCAUAUAUGAUAGUACUGCAAAUGUUAUCAUAGGCAACUACUUUAAAUACAUGCAGGAGGUUAAUAUUUUCCUAGUAUUGUAAAUUACCACAUUCUUCUUAUCAGGACUUCAUAUUCAGUUGAGUAUUUCCUUCUUCCAGUCAAGAGAGCAGAAAAGUUACAUAUAUACAGUAUUAAAAGUUUUUAUUACCAUCGAGCUAUAAUCGAUGGGCAGGCCCCUAUUGGGCAACCUCUGAUCAGAUGGUAAGUUAUAUACCGAUCCUACUGUGGCCGAGCGCAUAUGAUCGAGCCCAGUUGGUCGAGAUACAGAUCCUAGUAUGGCCGAGCACUUAUGAGCGAGCCUACUACGACAGAGCAGAUAUAUAUAUGUAUACCGAGCCUUGUAGGGCCGGACAACUAUUUUACUUACUAUAUUGAGAGAAUUGAGUCAGUAUCAGCAGGUAAGCAUAUCUUCAGAUUAUCUUUGACUUCCAACUAUUUGCAGUUAUUAUAUUAUCAGUUCAGUUUCAGCUUUUAGUAUAUUGCCUUACAUACUCAGUACAUUAUUUCGUACUGACGUUCCUUUUGCCUGGGGACGCUGCGUUUCAUGCCCGCAGGCCCUGAUAGACCGGCCGAGAGCCCUCCAAGUAGGCUAUCAGCUCAGCGAAAGAUGGUGGUGCGCUCCAUUUGCUUCGGAGUUGCGUAUUUGGUUAGUAUGAUUUAGAUGUGUAUUGUUUGGUAUGGUGGGACUUUGUCCCGACCUAUAUGACAUUUAUGUAUUCUUAGAGGCUGGUAGACAUAUGUCGUGUACGUGAAAGAUUGUACGGCCUUGCCGGCCUAUGUUUUGAGUUUAUAAAUGAUUAUGUUGGCCUAUUAGGCUCGUAUGUCACGUGUAUAUGAUGAUGUAAUAAGAAAGAUACGUUACAUUGGUACUCGGUUGAGUAAGGUAUCGGGUGCCCAUCGCGGCCCAUCGGUUUGGGUCGUGACAGAUACUUAUCCACUCUUAUGGUAAAAAGGAAUAACAUAAUCGAAAGGUAGAUACAAAUUUCAACAAGCAAAAGAAGUGGCUUCAACAAAGAAGGGUACGAGGUACCCAGUUAAUAAAGAUUAUCAUUAUUUACCAUUUAGGAAGGGAGAUAUAAGCUUUUUGAGUUGCCUUCAACAGUGAUAAAUGUAUGUACAACCGGCCACACCCGUCUUAUUUAUGCCAUAUAAAAGCUAACAGAAGUAGUAUAAGAGGAGGACGAAUAUCAGGAUCCAGCUGGGGUUAGGGUAACCCAAAUUGGUUAAUGGAUUGCUUGCAUUAGUUGACAUUUCCGAAGUAUAUUUCGAAUGUGCUAAUAGAUCUCCUUGUGAGACACCCAGAUAGUGUACUCUAAAAUAGUACAACUAGAUAUGUGUACUACAAAGAUAGGUACUAGAAUCCUGGAAUGGGUAAAUAUUACCUUAAUGUGGCUCUCGUCCCUAGUAGAGAGAAUCUUAGGCAACCCAAAGAGCCAGUAGAUGGAGGAAGGGGAGCUAAAAGCAAAAGAAUGUCUUGUUAAAGUUUUCAUAAUAAAGUGAUAGAUAGAAAUAUUAGCAGGGAAAUAUUAAAAGAUUUAAUGAAGCAGUAUCAGUAAGAUAUGAUACAUGGAUGACAACGGUAGAUCAAAAAAAAGAUGAUGAUGAUGACAGUAUUACAAAGUCUACAGUCAAGUGAAGGAAAAUUCGAGAAGUGACAGGCCUUGAGACAGUAAAAGAAAUUUCAGAUAUCAUUCCGAAAAUAAUAGAAUGUACAAUAGAAGAAGAUUCAUGAGAAAUUCAUAGAAUGGACAUUUAGGAAGACGCUUCCUUAAAGCAAACAAUAUGAGCAAAUUUAAGCUUAAGGGACUGUAUGUGCCAGCUAUACUAAGUGUCACUCUCGUGAGUAAGGAAUUUUGUUAUCUUUGGUACUAAAGGAUUACUGCAAGGCGAGUAAGGGUCAUCGAUAAAGUGAAAAGAUGCGAAGGAUGAAGAGAUAAAACAUCUAUAGGAAGAUCAUCGUAGCAUUAACUCUUAGUACUCCUAUAAAGGGGGGGGGGGGGGGAAUAUGGAGUGAUGUGGCAUUAAGCCAGAAUUAAGUGGUACUAGUAACUAUGAAAUAAUAAAGGAAGAAUACGAUAAAAAUGAGAAAGGGAUAAGAUUGCACUUAUACAAAUCCUACAGAUAUGCUAUGAUUCCAGAUCAUUAUGCAAGCAUGGCGUCAAGGAAAAGAAGUAAGGGUUCCUGCCCGAGAUAUUAUUGAUAAAUAAGGAGCCAGUGUAGGAGGUAAGUUAAGACAAAGUAAAUAACCCAGGAAGAAUGACACAGAAUAUAGAUAUUCAAGAAGAGCCUAGUUAUGGCUAGACAAGAAGAUACCGACAGAUCAAUAGAUCAUGCAAGAUAAACAUAGUGAACCCCAACAUGGGGAAUUCAGUCUCACAGAUAUGACAUUGUAACCCUUGAGAAAUAUUCAUAUAGGAGUUGGAAUAAUUAAAGGUACCGUGCGAGUAUUAUGAAAAUAAAAGAGAAACCCUAUGGUCAAAAUAUCAAUUUAGAAGAAACCCUACAAGCACAAGAGCAUGGAGGUAAGUAACAACAGAUAAUUAUAGAUGAGGAAGGACAUCAAAAAUUUUGUUGAGUAUACGAUGUAAUAAGCUCGCUAUUUUACAAGAGUCAGAAGGUUCUCCCUAAGUACUAUAACGAAAGACUAGCUGAGGAAAUAAGGAAGAAGGCUUCAACUUAAGCACAACGACCUAAAGAAGAAAUGGUCAUCACAACAUUAUAAGCACUCCAAAGGAAAGUGACACCUAUACUGACUAAUGAACGGGAAGUAAAAUUAAAAGUAGUAUUCGAGAUCACAUGAGUUGCACGAAAACUCUGGCAUGUGUAGGGACUAAGAUAAGCUAAGUACGGAUGCAACAAGGGGGCAGACAGACCAGAAAAAGUAAUAGCUUACGUUGAAAGAAAGUUAAAAUGGAACGAAAGAAAUUAUUCGAUAAAUGAUCCAGAGUUUGUUACGUUAUGAACACACUUAAGGGUUCGAAGUUUUAUACAUGCAGCAUAUACAGCCGUAGAAGAUUCUGGUAUACGUUAAAAGAAAGAAUUGAUUCCAGGUAAUAAAUGAAGGAUUAAAUUAUUAAAGGGUUGUAUCAUGCCUAUUUGUCAAGCCCAUGAAAGGCUAAACAGGAUAACUAAUACCAUGAACCACAGAUCGGAAGAUAGCUUAAGCCUAUAUAAAGGUUGAUUAGAGGGAAAAGGAAACUGAAGAGUGACAUCAACUAAGUGAUCAGGAGUCUAAUUAUUGGACCCAGAAAAUUAGAAACAUCAUGAUCAAGAACAUUGCAGGAUAUCCCUUAAAAUCAGAGGUACGAGAGAGAUAGUACAACAACCAUAGUCUAUAACGGCUCUAUGAUAAAGCCAGUAAUAAGAAGUCAGUAUAAAGCUCCCACCGGAUUGUAGUAUUAUAAUAGAGCUUCAAGUUGUGGUGUGAAUCAUACCUAUGUAGAAGGGAGGUUAUGAAAGAGAUAGAAGAUGUGAUGAAAGAUUUUAAGGUAAGUAAGGUGAAGGUGAAAACCGUACGAGAUACUCAAAUGCAAAAAGUUGUGAAUAGUCCAUUCUUCGGAUAGAAGGCUAUAAGCAUGAGGAUAUAAUAACCGAGAAUGAUAGUGGCAUCAUCAGCAAUAUGUCUUCCAGCCUAUGGUUUCUAAGUACUGAGAGAUCUAGUUAAGAGAGUAGAGAAAAGUUGGAGACGAUGUGAUGUCUCGCUUAACGUUCCAGAAUAACAUAAGAAAAUCUAUGGUACAAGCAAGUUGAAGGAUAUAGGUCGCAAGCUAAAAUAUGGUAGGGCGACAGAGUGUUAAGAAAACAUGAGUAAGGACGAGAAAAGGCAAGUAAAAAGGUGAUGAGAAUGGAUAAGUCCUCGGGAUUAAAUCCAUGAAAACAAGAGAGAUAAUGGUUUCUCUAAGUUAUUGAAAGUUCAGUGUAGCCUGAAUGAACUCAAAGGAGUCUAAGAUUAAUAACAUUUAGAAAGAAUGAAAUACUACCUGGUAAUAAAAUAGGGGUGUAAUUGUGAUAGAUAAAGGAUGACAUUUGGGCUUUCGUUUGAAUAAUAAUUUGAAAAAAAAGAAGAAGAGAAGGAGAAAAGAUUUUGCUGGCGGCAUGAAAUUAGGAUACCCCCAUAAGGUGAAUCACAUUGAGACACUAUGAAAUACGAUUAUGGAAAUCACUGCAAAUAUUCCUCAAUGCAACGUAAGCCCUAGCGGUAAUGUAUUACGUAAGAAGUUUCAAGUCUUCAAGUAGAGGAUUGUCGAUCAACAUUGAGGUGAAUCAACAAUGGAUAGAUACAAGUUACAAAGUAUGACAAGAAAUUGGGCCAUGAUUCUUAAGACGAACAGUAAUGAAGGAGCAUUAAAGGACUGAGAUUUAUACCUAACGGUUAAGCAAAAAAAGUAAUUGGGAUCUUUGUAAGCAUACCUCAGUAACGAUAAAUUGAAGUAAAAAUUAUGGUAUAGUAUAACUCAUGUAGAUGCAAUAAAGUUAUAUGAAUGGAUAAUAAGAUUUAUGAAAUAAGAUAUGGCCAUAUUCACAAGUUCUACAAAGUAUCGAGCAAAGAACUUCAGUACACCUAUAGAUACUAGAGAGGCAUCCUAUUAAGCCUUGUAUACAUUUACAAAGUAAGGCCUAGAGAUUGACUAUAAGCUAAAAGAAAAAAAAGAAAGAUAAAUCGCAUAAGCGCACUUACAAAGCCAGGGUCAUACAGGCUGCAUGACAGGAGGUAGCAACAGUUGCGAUAUUAGAAAGAUUUCGACCACAAGUCAUGAGAUGAGCUAAAAGACUAAAGGGGGGAAUACACUAGACUUUGGAUUUAUUCACAGAGCGACUGCUUAAAUGGCAAGGAGAGUACUAAGGUAUUCACAAGAGCUAUAAGUUAUGAAAAUGAUAAAAGCAUCAGUCAACAUUCAAGGACGAAUGUUCCAAAGGAGGGAAUGAUGUUACAUCCCGCAUUUUGGUAUUGUUAAAGUUUCGUCAUAAGUUAAUCGACGUAAGUUCGAUAGAAAGAUUAUUUUGAGAUUAUAAAUAUUAUGUUAUUUCAAACUAGUGAUAAGUAAAUUCGUGAAGGUGAGAAGGUAAGCGAAUCGAAGAAAAUGAGUUCCGUCAAAGCUUGACAAUUUGGGCAUAGAAUUUGGUCCAAGGUAUAAUACCCAGUAUUUAUGGAAUAAUGUCAUACAAGGUACCACAUGACCAUGAUAGUAAGGAUAAGAUAUGUUAAAAGUGGUUAGUAUUUUAAGUAAUUUAAGAUAAUUCUUAAUUAUGUGGGUAAUUGAUUAAUUAUUGAUUAAUGAGAGAUUAACAAGAUUAAUCAAGUAAUUAGUGGAUAAUUAAUUCAAAAAUGUGGAUAAGAUUUGAUGAAACACGUGGCAGCCCAUGAAAUGAAUUACAAUUCCUAUAAAUGACUCAUGUAAUAUGUGGAAAGGUGUCACAUUGUUAGUACAUUUAACAUGAGUCAAAAUCUCUUUAAGCCAAAAGCCUUGAACGUGAUUUGCAUAAUAUAUGCACUUUAACACAUGAAAACUAAUAUUUACUUACCCCUUAAGAUUAGAAGAAAUAAGCCUCAUAUUCCAUAAAGACUAAAUACGUGUUUUGGCAAUGGCCGGAGCUGUAAUCACGUAUUAUUUUGCGAUUUUAAGGAAGCCCGGAUUUACCCCUACUUCGAUCCGUCGUUAUGUGUUUCGUCGCGAUUAACAUGUGUUAAAGGGAUUUUCAAGAGAAUUGACUCAGGUAUGUUAAGGCUAUCCCUUAUUUUUUUUUGGCAUGUUCUAUACGACACAAACGAAACGAGCAAAUGCACAAAUUUCAUAAAUGACUCUAUUCAUAGAAGUAUUAGAGAUAUCUAUGUUCUUGAAUUUUCAUGUAUCAUAAUAUUCUAUCAUCUGUUCAUGGGUCUCAGAAAAAAAAAUAUGAAAGUUGAAAAGAGUUUACUUUAUGAUAUUACUCAACGGCAAAAUGAUCUUAUGACAUUUCGAAAGAUUUUAUUAAUGUAAUUUUCAUGCAAUGCAUUCAUGUACAUUGAUCCAUGACCAGAUGACAUUAUAUACACGUAUAUAUGUAUUUAUAUGUAUGUAUAUAUAUGUACAUGGGAUAUGGGAAAGGUUAUGGAGUUAUAUACCCACCACCACCUGAUCAGUUAGUAUACGUUAAUGAUUUUGCCCAUAGUGACCAAGAUGAUAUGAUGGGAUGCCCUCAGAGGCUGAUGAUGCUAUGAAACAUGCACCUAUGCACGACAUGACAUUCAUACACAUAUGCAUGAUACUAUAAUUAUUUCAUGAUUUACAAAGUUAUUCAGACAUACAGGUGGAGUCAUUUACUCUAUAUUUCCUCUAUGUCUGUUAUACACUUAUUUAUGUGCCUUACAUGCUCAGUACAUUAUUCAUACUGACGUCCCUUUUUGCCUGGGUACGCUAUGUUUCAUGCCUGCAGGUCCCGAUAGACAGGUCGAGAACCCUCCAAGUAGGCUAUCAGCUUAUCGGAAGAUGUUGGUGCGCUCCAUUUGCUUUGGAGUUGCUUCUUUGGUUAGUAUGAGUUAGAUGUGUAUUGUUUUGUAUGGCGGGACUCUAUCCCGACCUUUAUGAAAAUUAUGUAUUCUUAGAGGCUUGUAGACAGAUGUCAUGUACGUAAAAGAUUGUAUGGCCUUGUCGGCCUAUGUUCAGUGUUCAAGUGGUUACUUUGGUCUUAG